rnacentral:rRNA from 1 species
UGGUGGAGUGAUUUGUCUGGUUAAUUCCGUUAACGAACGAGACCUUAGCCUACUAACUAGUCGAGCCAAUCCCGAUUGGCCGCGACUUCUUAGAGGGACUUUGUGACUAAACACAAGGAAGUUUGAGGCAAUAACA